GGUUGAGGAAGUCGUUCACACACACAGUCAGUCAUUUGUAUGAAGAGAGGAGGCAAGGACGCACGCAUGGCAUCCAGUAGCACCAGACGUUCUCUUUCAAACCGAGGGCCUUCCCUCCUGCUGCUGGCUCUGGCUUGGACUGUGACCUUUUCUCUCACAGAGAGUUCUGAACCCAGUCUCAGUGGGGAGGUUGGUGGAAAUGUGACCUUUCGAUGCCCGGUUAAUGAUCAAAGGACAAUUAAAAUGUUCUACUUUCAACGUGAUGAGGUGUUCGUCAACGGCUUCUAUGCAGUUAGAGAAAUCACUGCGCCCAAAUGGCCGAACACAAGACUGGAUCGCAAAAGUACACAUGUGGACAUGUACAAUUUGAACAUCUCGCACACUGGGACAUAUAAAUGCAUCAUUGAGUACAACAAUGAUCAGGAUGUCAGGAUAAGUUUCAUCCAACUCAAUGUCACAGCCUCCUACAGCAAACCCAAUGUGACACAGUCCUGUGAUGAUGCCCGUUGUUUGGUGACGUGUGCCUUCUACGGCGGGUACCCAGGCAAAAUGGUGGACUGGAAAUUACAUGGGUCUAGAAAUACCGACAAUCAGCUGUGGAACGUUGAGAACAACACUCAGGUGCACAGUCCAAGCACGAUGUUGGUCAACAGCAGCAGCAUUGUGUACUUCAGCUGCUCCCAUGGAGAGGUCAGGAAUCUCAGCUGCUCUGUGGGCAACGUUACCUCCGACUGGUUCCCAGUGUGUGAACGUAAACUCGAGGUUAAGCCUAACUCUCACAGUCCUAUCAAAAUAGCAACUGCUGUCUGUGCAGUGUUAAUCUUACUCUUACUGUUGGGAGCAGUUGUAUGGUUUUUUUAUCGACGCAAGAAAAGACAAACAGGUGAGGGACACUUUUAUGUUUUCCACUGCAGCUGUAUAAUUAUACGCAACAACUAAUAACAGUUUCUGUUCUGGUUUCUUGGACAAGAUCGGAUAAAGGAUGGAAAUAAGGACGAGUUAAAAGAACUGCAAGAAUAAGAGAAAGGACCAUGUUGAGUUGUUUUUGUUAUGGAUCGAAGGAAGAAGAAGUUUAUGGAGUCCAGACGUCAUCUCAGAAUCUGAUGCUGGGACUCUGUGUCACUGAAACGUCUACUGCCUACUAGUCAGUGGCUGAUGGGAACUGGACCAGGGAACUAUUCAUAAGUAGUGUCAUUUUACAGUGCGUCAUUCAGAGAAUAGCUCAGUUCCCAAAAAAAGACUUUUAUAAUGUGUAUGUGGUGAGAUUACUGAUAGUCUUCGAAGGAUACACUUCCCAGCAAUGUAAGCAGUUCAACUUAAAGCAGCAGAGAGUGUGUUUUAAAAUAAAAGGGCUUUUUGAAUGUUACACUGACAUCUUUUUAUUUAUUUUUUAUUUUCGGGUAUAUCAUUUUUGUUGCAGCACUUUAAAAUCCCUUUCCUUUCCACCCUUUUUAAAUAGGCUUUUUUAUUUAAUGUUGUCAGUAGAAACAUGUUACUCCUGCCAAUCUACUACCUGUUUAUUUUUUUAUGAGUAUCAAUUCCCUCAUUUGUUUGUACUCUUUAAUUUGCUUUGUCCAUAAGAAAUGAUUUAUAGCAAAACCUUGGAAACAAAUGUAUUAUUCCCAAGAAAGUGAAUACCAGAAAACUCUUUGCACAUUCAUUUAUUUUCUGCAUUUUCAGCUUUAAAGUUUUCUUUGCUACAGUAAAUGUUAAAUGGCAAGUAUUAAAGCUCUUUUCUAGUCUUGAUGACCACUCAAAGCGCAGCAGAUUCCAGUAUUAGAGAAUUCCUAUUUAAUGUGCAAUGUUUAAUAUAAAUGAAAUUACCGUAGCCCUCAUUAUUUAAAUAACGGUGUAUUUCCAAACUCAACUAUUUUACUUAGGCGAUUGUUUUCAUUUAAUAUUGAAGAAGGAAUUAAAGAUGUACUGUUUGCAAUAUUUAUUUUUCACAUAUGACAUGACCAUUUUUGUUAUUCCUCCUUCCUACAAAGUACUGACUGUUCUCAAAUGGUUGCUCUCAUUUCUCAAAUCUGUAUGAAACACUUUUCUCUGGUGGCUGUUGUAAUUUUGUUUUGUUUUGUUUUGCAUUAUAUUGAUAAAAUUGUAUAUACAUUGAAAUGCAAAAUAAAAAAAAUAAAAAUGUGUAACUUAA